ensembl:lncRNA
AAAUCUGGCACUAUAUUCCCUAUAUGCUAGUGCGCUACUUUUGACCAGAGCCGAGGUAGUGCACUGUGUAGGGAAAAGGGUGUGAUUUAGGACGUAACCCAAACCUCAGCUACAACGGAACACAACGGAACACAACAGAACAGCGGCAGGGUUCCAAGUUCCAACACAUGAUGACCAGGGGGAUUAUCCUGUGGCAGCGUCUUACUGGGGACAAGCAGUCAGACUGGGGGUUGAACCAGCAACCUUAAUGUUACAGGGCCAGUGUAGAGAAAGGCCGGCGUCACUAAGGUCUGGACCUUAGCAGAGGCAGCAGUAGUCUUCAGACAGAGGUUACACUAGGUGUAUAUCAGCAGUAGUCUUCAGACAGAGGUUACACUAGGUGUAUAUCAGCAGUAGUCUUCAGACAGAGGUUACACUAGGUGUAUAUCAGCAGUAGUCUCCAGACAGAGGUUACACUAGGUGUAUAUCAGCAGUAGUCUUCAGACAGAGGUUACACUAGGUGUAUAUCAGCAGUAGUCUUCAGACAGAGGUUACACUAGGUGUAUAUCAGCAGUAGUCUUCAGACAGAGGUUACACUAGGUGUAUAUCAGCAGUAGUCUUCAGACAGAGGUUACACUAGGUGUAUAUCAGCAGUAGUCUCCAGACAGAGUUUAUACUAGGUUUGACCCAAUAAGUGGCUCUGAAAUGUU